rnacentral:rRNA from 1 species
UCAGACAAAAAACAUGCAAGUCGAGCGGGGUUUUCGGACAAAGCGGCGGACGGGUGAGUAAUGCGUAGGAAGCUACCCGAUAGAGGGGGAUACCAGUUGGAAACGACUGUUAAUACCGCAUAAUGUCUACGGACCACAGUGUGGGACCUUGGGGCCACAUGCUAUCGGAUGCACCUACGUGGGAUUAGCUAGUUGGUGAGGUAGUGGCUCACCAAGGCGACGAUCCCUAGCUGGUUUGAGAGAAAAAUCAGCCGCACUUGUUGGGGGAAACGGUCCAGACUCCUACGGGAGGCAGCAGUGGGGAAUAUUGGACA